rnacentral:lncRNA from 1 species
GUGAUACGGAAGUGGAACUCUUUGUUAUUUUCCCAGAGUCAGAAGGAAGGCAUAAGCAUCCCACUUGAGGAAAAUAUCAUGCCUAUAAGCCCAGUUUCUCCCAGAUGUUCACUCAGGUCAUUCCUGAUGAGGUUCUCUUUAGACCUGCUGAAAGGAUGGCUUCUAUCUUCAGAUACAAAGUGUUUCUAUUGCUCCUUGCUGCUGCUGUUCUGUGAUCCAGUGAGUGAUGAAUGUGUCCUAAAGGCUUUGGAAUGCCUGUGCAAUUUGUCUGCAUGCUGGAGGCAAAAUCCUCAUCAAAAAAGCCAACUGUGGUCUGGUUAUAUGAAGAUCCUCAAGCAGUGAUACAGCUGUAUAUGCAGUUAUACUGGCCAUUGCUGCUAACCUAGGGCACUUGUCACACUUAUAAGGCAUCGCAUGGCAGAGUUGUUAACAUAGUUUGUAGCAGAAGUCAUAAAAGAUCCCAUUUUGAGGUGGUGCUGUCCCUGUAAGGGAGAGUUUUCAUUAUUAUUUGCUCUAAGAUCCAACAACCAGAAACCGGCUGAAAAUGGACCUGUUGUGUCCCCUUGUCAUUGGCAGUAGUUUUCCCAUUCGUGUGUGGCAUAAGAAAUAUGCAAAAUCUUUCACAGGAUGUGGAAAAACUCUCUGUGAUAUCUAUAUGCUUUGCACCAAGGCCUAAGCGUUUCCAGAACAUAGCCCCAUCAUUGUUCUUUACAUUGCUAACAUAACAUGCUUGUAGGCUGUAUCCUCACAUCCUUGCUCCCUUACUGUGAAAAUUCAGACUCAAAGAAAUCCACUGAAAUAUAUAAAAUGCAGGUUACUUUUUUUUUUACCUCCUGUACCUAAUUCUGCAAUGAACAGGAGCAAAUCAAUGGAAAAUAGUGCACAAAAUAAUCUGUAAAAUCAUUUUCUCCCUGAGAAAUGGGAAGUGCCAGGUAAUGCACAGACUUUAGGAUUACUGAGGUAAUGUGGUGCAUAAAUGGUGUUGCUGUGUUGGGUAAUAGAAUAAAGCUCUAAGACAGACACA